ACGUACCAAGCGAAAACUACCAGUCUUCCUUCUCGAAUCUCAGUGUUCUUUGAGAAAAGAGAGUGAUCGGAAAGAAUGGCUUCCGCGAAGGCUGAGAGACCUCUCGAAGGCUCCCAGGUUCCCUUGGAAAAAGCCAAGAAGGAGCCUCCCCCCGCCAAAACCAGUGCUGCUGCACCCAAAUCUCAGGCUAGAAAGCUGGGCCCAAAAAAGGCCGAGCAGAAGCCUCGGGAGCCCAAGAAGAAGACUAAAGGUGGCAAAUCAGCAGCCAAGAAAUAGGAGAUGACAGGAAGCAGCAGGACUGCUCAGCAUCCCAUCCGAUCAAAGACUAGCAUUUUUAUGUGGUUUUAGUUUUUCCUAUUUUCCUAUAUUUUAAAUGUAUGCCGAAUGUUAGGCUGGGCUUUCUGAAAUAAAGUCGUGGUAUUGCUAGAAUGAUGAUAAGCUAACAUUACUACUGUUGUAGCAA